rnacentral:rRNA from 1 species
UACGAAGGGGGCUAGCGUUGCUCGGAAUCACUGGGCGUAAAGGGUGCGUAGGCGGGUCUUUAAGUCAGGGGUGAAAUCCUGGAGCUCAACUCCAGAACUGCCUUUGAUACUGAAGAUCUUGAGUCCGGGAGAGGUGAGUGGAACUGCGAGUGUAGAGGUGAAAUUCGUAGAUAUUCGCAAGAACACCAGUGGCGAAGGCGGCUCACUGGCCCGGUACUGACGCUGAGGCACUAAAGCGUGGGGAGCAAACAGG